rnacentral:tRNA from 14 species
GCUCCCGUAGUUCAACGGAUAGAACGUGUUCCUCCUAAGAAUAAGAUGCAGGUUCAAUUCCCGCCGGGGGCACCA